AUCACAGCGCGGGCCCGGCUCUGUGGCUCCCUCUGACGGCGGCGCUGCCACACUGUCGGUGUUGGACGGGAGGCACGUGUGAGCCAUGUUUUUCCUCCCUGUUUGAGAAGAUUCGGGACUGCCUUCAUAGAAAAGCUUCAUCAGCUGGAUUCAGAAUAAAGGGAACUAACUCAUGGACAGAUUGGGGCUGCAAAGAGAUCCCCAGAAGACAUGGAGAGCCUUACCUGGACUGCAUACACCGGCAUUACAGUGUAGAAUGGAAGACAGCAUUUUACAGAUUAUCAAUAAGAUGCAGCAUAUUUGUGGUUUAUCAGUACCAAAAGUGUAAGAAGAUGAUGGGACUGUGAUAAGAACUGAAGAUGUAUUUGAUCAGAAAAAAAUUAUGAAGAUUUUAGAGCUUACAAAGAAAAUGCAAUGCUUUUCUUGGCCCUAUCCACUAAACUGUUUCCCAUAAGAAAACUUCUGCAGCCACAAUGAACUCCACAAGCAUCAGUUGUCUGUGCAUGUUCAAAAAUGUGAGCAUCUUGGCAGAAUGGUGUCCAUUUGAACUCAAGGAUGCGUACAGCUUUUCAAACCAGAGCAGCACCAAAUGGGAGAAGAGCGUGUUACGUAUUUUUGUGUGCACCUAACUGAAACUUUGGUUUAUACUUGUAUCUAGGCCAAGCACAAGAGAAACAUGCCUAUCUUACCUGUUGUGUGCUGUAUUAGUGUGGUCACUGUACUGCAAAUGACCAACUUUUCAAUAUUAUCCCUAUAUUCAGUCAUAAUAAAUAAAUAAAUAAACGUUUUGCCACAUCUUCUACUCAAAUUCAUGCAAUAUCUGUGUAUAUAUAAUAUCUGUAUGAUCCAGCUUAAGUUAAUCAGAGUAUAUACAUUAGUGUAUACACUGGUAUGUAUUACGAUUUAUAUUAAACAUCUUUAUAAAUGCGCUCUUGGCCUCUGUAUUUAAUAAAGGCAU
rnacentral:lncRNA from 7 species